AGUGUAGGCGGGAAUUUAAGUCAGAGGUGAAAAUUCAGGGCUCAACCUUGAACUUGCCUUUGAUACUGGAUUUCUUGAGUAUGGAAGAGGGCGAUGGAAUUCCUGGUGUAGCGGUGGAAUGCGUAGAUAUCAGGAGGAACACCGAUUGCGAAGGCAGUCGCCUGGGACAAUACUGACGCUGAAACUCGAAAGCGUGGGGAGCAAACAGGAUUAGAUACCCGAGUAGUCC
rnacentral:rRNA from 1 species